rnacentral:rRNA from 1 species
CUUUACUGCAACUUGGCAGUGAGUUUCGGGGCAAUCUGCGUAGGAUAGGUGGGAGACUUUGAAACCGGGGUUCUGGCUUCGGUGGAGUCAACGUUGAAAUACCACCCUGAUUGCUCUGGGAUUCUAACCUGCGCCCGUGAUCCGGGCGAGGGACACUGCCUGGCGGGCAGUUUGACUGGGGCGGUCGCCUCCCAAAACGUAACGGAGGCGUGCGAAGGUUCCCUCAGCCUGAUUGGAAACCAGGCGUAGAGUGCAAACGCACAAGGGAGCUUAACUGCGAGACCGACAGGUCGAGCAGGUGCGAAAGCAGGCGUUAGUGAUCCGGUGGUUCCACAUGGAAGGGCCAUCGCUCAUCGGAUAAAAGGUA